rnacentral:rRNA from 1 species
CCUACGGGGGACAGCAGUGGGGAAUAUUGCGCAAUGGGCGAAAGCCUGACGCAGCGACGCCGCGUGAGGGAUGAAGGUCUUCGGAUCGUAAACCACUGUCAGCAGGGAAGAACGGGCACUGUGCUAAUCAGCAGUGAAUUGACGGUACCUGCAAAGGAAGCACCGGCUAACUCCGUGCCAGCAGCCGCGGUAAUACGGAGGGUGCGAGCGUUAAUCGGAAUUACUGGGCGUAAAGCGCGCGUAGGCGGUAUGUCAAGUCAAGGGUGAAAUCCCCGCGCUUAACGUGGGAACUGCCUUUGAAACUGGCAAGCUGGAGUGUGUGAGAGGGUAGUGGAAUUCCAGGUGUAGGAGUGAAAUGCGUAGAUAUGUGGAGGAACAUCAGUGGCGAAGGCGACUAUCUGGCACAUAACUGACGCUGAGGAGCGAAAGCGUGGGUAGCAAACAGGAUUAGAUACCCGGGUAGUC